GCACCGAUAGUGUAGCGGUAUCAUGCAAGAUUGCCAUUCUUGCGACCUGGGUUCGAGUCCCGGUUGGUGCA